rnacentral:rRNA from 1 species
UACGUAGGUGGCAAGCGUUGUUCGGAAUUAUUGGGCGUAAAGAGCGUGUAGGCGGCCCGAUAAGUCCGGCGUGAAAGCCCAGGGCUCAACCCUGGAAUGCCGGUGGAAACUGUCGGGCUGGAGUCCGGAAGAGGCGAGUGGAAUUCCUGGUGUAGCGGUGAAAUGCGCAGAUAUCAGGAGGAACACCAAUGGCGAAGGCAGCUCGCUGGGACGGUACUGACGCUGAGACGCGAAAGCGUGGGGAGCAAACAGG